AACCCAAAACAACAUGUAUCGGGCCAGCCUUCUCAAACGAAGCACCCGUGGCCUCUUUUCCUCUACUUCAGGCAGGCUGCUUUGGUGGGGAUGCAAGGAAAGUGAUCUUCACCGCCUUGCUCGACAGCGCCCGUGGUGGGAAACGGCUGCCAUUUUUACCGGGCUUCUCGCCUUUGUAAAUGUGACGAGCGCAUUCUUUUAUGCACUGAACCGAUGGUAUCAGCGCUGGCGACCCUCAGGAAAUGAGCUGCACAUUCGCGAUUCGAUCGAUCAGAAGUUGUUUUCAAGGCCUGAUCUAGCCGUCGUUGCCGUGCGAAUGUUGCUGCAUCAUGCACUCAGUAACACACAAACACCAUUCGGAUGCCCUAUUGUGGCACCUGAGAAUUACCGAGAAGAGGCCGAGGAGAUUGCAGACUUCAUUUGGAAACUUAGCACAGAUCAGCCGAUGUACACCUUUCCCGAUUUGUGGGCGAUGUUCACAGCAAAGGCAAUGGCUCGCCUUGGUGGACCCAAUGUAGUGCCGUUUCGCGGUCGCGAUGACCCACCUGAGUUCAUGACACGUGACCUGCUCCUCGCAUUUCCGCGUUCGCUGGUUCACGAGGACGACCGUGAUGUCUUGAACAUGAAGCGUGUUUUAUCGCGUCAAGGAUUUUCAUUGGAGCAAGUUGUUGCCUUGAUAGGGUGCAACCGUUGUAUUGGUUUUCACGACGCUGCGAACUUUCAUACACGUGAGGAGGUGAAGCCAAAGAUGAAGCGGCGCCCGGGGGCGAUUGGGCCUAGUGACGACGAGUUUCACCUGCCUGGAACGAUUCAGAAAACUACGAUGGACCCAUAUGUGUUUGGUUCAGAGUACUUUAAUCUUCUGCUGGAUUACAAGUGGCGUCAGCCAGGUUUGUUUCAGCAGCGAAGGAAGGGCGCGUACAGUUGUAACGCGAAGGAGCGCGCACGCCAAGUAACCUUACUCGAUCCUUUUUCUGAGAAAUCGUACGAGUCGCAGCAACGUAGGAUGGGGCCUGCUGAAAAAGCGCGGGAGAGUAGUAAUGCAACGGACAAACGUAUACCGGCCACUCUUGGAGACGGCGAUAGUGCUCCAGAUCGUGGUCGCUUUGAUCGCAGCGGAGAGGCUCAGUUCAUUCCGGGUGCGCAUAGUGCUAACCGGAGCGAUAGUGCGGAGAGUAGCAAUCGAGAACCGGACAUCGCUGGCGAUCCUGACUACGAAGCUGAGCGUGGGACCGUGUCUGUUGACCCGUGUGAGCAUGUUUCAAUGCGCGGUGUGGACGUUAUGCUUUUGGACGAUGCUCUCACGAAAGGCUGGCUGUAUCAGUUUGGGGAUAACGAGCUUGAGUUCUACGCCGCCGUAUCGGAGGUGAUUUUGAACAUUCAAGGCAGGGGCUACAAUCCGAAUAAGCUUGCAAUGUGGAAGUGAGCAGAUACAAGGCCAUUCAAGUUGAAAAGAGUCACUUUUGUUCGUCAGGCGUGACUGAGCAUUAACCUUUUUCACAUCUGUUUUCUUGUGGGGAUGGAUGACCAUCUGCACAUCUCACAAACAAAAAAAGGUGAGGCUCACGUAGAGCGGUGGCUCGCACUACUGAAUAAUUCCUGGGAAAAGUUCCGGUAUGUUUUCCCGCACCGGAUAACUCGAUGCAUUGCUGCAGCACUCAACGCGGCUGAGGAAGGGGUCUUUCAUGCUCGUUGCGCCACCUCUGCAACGGCCAUUUUCCAUAUAUCCUCCGCAGCUUGCUUGGUUUUUACUUCACAUUGAUGCCUUUAUCUUGAGCGCUCUAUCUUCCUUCCCUUGCAUCGCGUUUUUUUUUUGGUGCCCCUGGUUUAUAUAUAUAUAUAUAUACAUUGGUUGAUUGCCAAG
rnacentral:misc_RNA from 1 species